GGGGGGACGCAGUAGGAUAGGCGAAGCGUGCUGUUGGAGUGCACGUCCAAGCAGUAAGGCUGAGUGUUAGGCAAAUCCGGCACUCAUAAGGCUGAGCUGUGAUGGGGAGAGGAAAUUGUUUCCUCGAGUCGUUGAUUUCACACUGCCGAGAAAAGCCUCUAGAUAGAUAACAGGUGCCCGUACCGCAAACCGACACAGGUAGUCAAGAUGAGAAUUCUAAGGUGAGCGAGCGAACUCUCGUUAAGGAACUCGGCAAAAUGACCCCGUAACUUCGGGAGAAGGGGUGCUCUUUAGGGUUCACGCCCAGAAGAGCCGCAGUGAAUAGGCCCAAGCGACUGUUUAUCAAAAACACAGGUCUCUGCUAAACCGUAAGGUGAUGUAUAGGGGCUGACGCCUGCCCGGUGCUGGAAGGUUAAGAGGAGUGGUUAGCUUCUGCGAAGCUACGAAUCGAAGCCCCAGUAAACGGCGGCCGUAACUAUAACGGUCCUAAGGUAGCGAAAUUCCUUGUCGGGUAAGUUCCGACCCGCACGAAAGGCGUAACGAUUUGGGCACUGUCUCAACGAGAGACUCGGUGAAAUCAUAGUACCUGUGAAGAUGCAGGUUACCCGCGACAGGACGGAAAGACCCCGUGGAGCUUUACUGUAGCCUGAUAUUGAAAUUCGGCACAGCUUGUACAGGAUAGGUAGGAGCCUUUGAAACGUGAGCGCUAGCUUACGUGGAGGCGUUGGUGGGAUACUACCCUAGCUGUGUUGGCUUUCUAACCCGCACCACUUAUCGUGGUGGGAGACAGUGUCAGGCGGGCAGUUUGACUGGGGCGGUCGCCUCCUAAAAGGUAACGGAGGCGCUCAAAGGUUCCCUCAGAAUGGUUGGAAAUCAUUCAUAGAGUGUAAAGGCAUAAGGGAGCUUGACUGCGAGACCUACAAGUCGAGCAGGGUCGAAAGACGGACUUAGUGAUCCGGUGGUUCCGCAUGGAAGGGCCAUCGCUCAACGGAUAAAAGCUACCCCGGGGAUAACAGGCUUAUCUCCCCCAAGAGUUCACAUCGACGGGGAGGUUUGGCACCUCGAUGUCGGCUCAUCGCAUCCUGGGGCUGUAGUCGGUCCCAAGGGUUGGGCUGUUCGCCCAUUAAAGCGGUACGCGAGCUGGGUUCAGAACGUCGUGAGACAGUUCGGUCCCUAUCCGUCGUGGGCGUAGGAAAUUUGAGAGGAGCUGUCCUUAGUACGAGAGGACCGGGAUGGACAUACCUCUGGUGUACCAGUUGUCGUGCCAACGGCAUAGCUGGGUAGCUAUGUAUGGACGGGAUAAGUGCUGAAAGCAUCUAAGCAUGAAGCCCCCCUCAAGAUGAGAUUUCCCAACUUCGGUUAUAAGAUCCCUCGAAGAUGACGAGGUUAAUAGGUUCGAGGUGGAAGCGUGGUGACACGUGGAGCUGACGAAUACUAAUCGAUCGAAGACUUAAUCAAUUUUUAAA
rnacentral:rRNA from 1 species